ensembl:misc_RNA Y_RNA Y RNA
GGCUGGUCCAAAGAUAGUGAGUUAUCUCAAUUGAUUGUUCACAGUCAGUUACAGAUCGAACUCCUUGUUCUACUCUUUCCUCUCUUUACACUACUGCACUUGACUAGUCUUAA